GAUGAACGCUGGCGGCGUGCCUAAUACAUGCAAGUCGAGCGAACAGACGAGGAGCUUGCUCCUCUGACGUUAGCGGCGGACGGGUGAGUAACACGUGGAUAACCUACCUAUAAGACUGGGAUAACUUCGGGAAACCGGAGCUAAUACCGGAUAAUAUAUUGAACCGCAUGGUUCAAUAGUGAAAGACGGUUUUGCUGUCACUUAUAGAUGGAUCCGCGCCGCAUUAGCUCGUUGGUAAGGUAACGGCUUACCAAGGCAACGAUGCGUAGCCGACCUGAGAGGGUGAUCGGCCACACUGGAACUGAGACACGGUCCAGACUCCUACGGGAGGCAGCAGUAGGGAAUCUUCCGCAAUGGGCGAAAGCUUGACGGAGCAACGCCGCGUGAGUGAUGAAGGUCUUCGGAUCGUAAAACUCUGUUAUUAGGGAAGAACAAAUGUGUAAGUAACUAUGCACGUCUUGACGGUACCUAAUCAGAAAGCCACGGCUAACUACGUG
rnacentral:rRNA from 1 species